CCCUCCUUGUUUGUACCGCCUAUAUACCGCCGUCGUCAGCCUACCCUGUGAAGGCCCAGAAGUGAGCAAGAUUGGUAAGACCCAAAACGUCAGGUCGAGGUGUAGUGAAUGAGAGGGGAAGAAAUGGGCUACAUUUCCUAAGCUAGGAAAUACGAAUAAUGAACUGAAAUAAGCAUUAGAAGGUGGAUUUAGCAGUAAGCAGAAAAACAGAGUGUUUCGCUGAAGUUAUGGCAAUAAAGCACGCACACAUCGCCCGUCACUCUCCCCGAGCUAUCCUAUUAACCAGUACCUAAAAAAUUACAUCUGCAAAGGGGAGGCAAGUCGUAACAUGGUAAGCGUACCGGAAGGUGCGCUUGGAAUAAU
rnacentral:rRNA from 1 species